CCUACGGGAGGCAGCAGUGAGGAAUAUUGGUCAAUGGACGGAAGUCUGAACCAGCCAUGCCGCGUGCAGGAAGACGGCUCUAUGAGUUGUAAACUGCUUUUGUACAAGGGUAAACCUGAAUACGUGUAUUCAGCUGAAAGUACUGUACGAAUAAGGAUCGGCUAACUCCGUGCCAGCAGCCGCGGUAAUACGGAGGAUCCAAGCGUUAUCCGGAUUUAUUGGGUUUAAAGGGUGCGUAGGCGGAUUGAUAAGUUAGAGGUGAAAGGUUCGAGCUUAACUCGGGAACUGCCACUAAUACUGUUGAUCUAGAGAGUAGAUGCGGUAGGCGGAAUGUGUGGUGUAGCGGUGAAAUGCUUAGAGAUCAUACAGAACACCGAUUGCGAAGGCAGCUUACCAAUCUAUAUCUGACAUUGAGGCACGAAAGCGUGGGGAGCAAACAGGAUUAGAUACCCGAGUAGUC
rnacentral:rRNA from 1 species